rnacentral:rRNA from 1 species
GAUGAACGCUGGCGGCGUGCCUAAUACAUGCAAGUCGAGCGAACAGACGAGGAGCUUGCUCCUUCGACGUUAGCGGCGGACGGGUGAGUAACACGUAGGUAACCUACCUAUAAGACUGGGAUAACUUCGGGAAACCGGAGCUAAUACCGGAUAAUAUUUCGAACCGCAUGGUUCGAUAGUGAAAGAUGGCUUUGCUAUCACUUAUAGAUGGACCUGCGCGGUAUUAGCUAGUUGGUAAGGUAACGGCUUACCAAGGCAACGAUACGUAGCCGACCUGAGAGGGGGAUCGGCCACACGGGAAGUGGGACACGGUCCAGGCUCCUACGGGAGGCAGCAGUAGGGAAUCUUCCGCAAUGGGCGAAAGCCUGACGGAGCAACGCCGCGUGAGUGAUGAAGGUCUUCGGAUCGUAAAACUCUGUUAUUAGGGAAGAACAAACGUGUAAGUAACUGUGCACGUCUUGACGGUACCUAAUCAGAAAGCCACGGCUAACUACGUG